ACGCUGGCGGCAGGCUUAACACAUGCAAGUCGAGCGGGGGAAGGUAGCUUGCUACCGGACCUAGCGGCGGACGGGUGAGUAAUGCUUAGGAAUCUGCCUAUUAGUGGGGGACAACAUCUCGAAAGGGAUGCUAAUACCGCAUACGUCCUACGGGAGAAAGCAGGGGAUCUUCGGACCUUGCGCUAAUAGAUGAGCCUAAGUCGGAUUAGCUAGUUGGUGGGGUAAAGGCCUACCAAGGCGACGAUCUGUAGCGGGUCUGAGAGGAUGAUCCGCCACACUGGGACUGAGACACGGCCCAGACUCCUACGGGAGGCAGCAGUGGGGAAUAUUGGACAAUGGGGGGAACCCUGAUCCAGCCAUGCCGCGUGUGUGAAGAAGGCCUUAUGGUUGUAAAGCACUUUAAGCGAGGAGGAGGCUACUUUAGUUAAUACCUAGAGAUAGUGGACGUUACUCGCAGAAUAAGCACCGGCUAACUCUGUGCCAGCAGCCGCGGUAAUACAGAGGGUGCGAGCGUUAAUCGGAUUUACUGGGCGUAAAGCGUGCGUAGGCGGCUUAUUAAGUCGGAUGUGAAAUCCCCGAGCUUAACUUGGGAAUUGCAUUCGAUACUGGUGAGCUAGAGUAUGGGAGAGGAUGGUAGAAUUCCAGUGUAGCGGUGAAAUGCGUAGAGAUCUGGAGGAAUACCGAUGGCGAUGCAGCCAUCUGGGCCAAUACUGACCCUGAGUACGAAAGCAUGGGGAGCAAAAGGAUUAGAUACCCUGGUAGUCCAUGCCGUAACCAUGUCUACUAGCCGUUGGGGCCUUUAGGCUUUAUGGCGCCGCUAACCCGAUAAGUAAACCGCCUGGGGAGUACGUCGCAGACUAAAAUCAAUGAUGACGGGGCCCCCAAGCGGUGGAAGGUGGUUAUUCAUGCAACGCGAA
rnacentral:rRNA from 1 species